rnacentral:rRNA from 1 species
ACUCCUACGGGAGGCAGCAGUGGGGAAUAUUGCACAAUGGGGGAAACCCUGAUGCAGCCAUGCCGCGUGUGUGAAGAAGGCCUUCGGGUUGUAAAGCACUUUCAGUAGGGAGGAAGGUAGUGUAGUUAACACCUGCAUUAUUUGACGUUACCUACAGAAGAAGCACCGGCUAACUCCGUGCCAGCAGCCGCGGUAAUACGGAGGGUGCGAGCGUUAAUCGGAAUUACUGGGCGUAAAGCGCAUGCAGGCGGCCUGUUAAGUCAGAUGUGAAAGCCCGGGGCUUAACCUCGGAAUUGCAUUUGAAACUGGCAGGCUAGAGUCUUGUAGAGGGGGGUAGAAUUUCAGGUGUAGCGGUGAAAUGCGUAGAGAUCUGAAGGAAUACCAGUGGCGAAGGCGGCCCCCUGGACAAAGACUGACGCUCAGAUGCGAAAGCGUGGGGAGCAAACAGGAUUAGACACCCUGGUAGCACAGAG